rnacentral:rRNA from 1 species
CGGUGUUUAACUGGCGUGAUGUGGGACGUCCUACCGGUGGGCUUAGCCUCGCGAGGGGCGGCCCAACUAAUAUCCCGUCGCGGUGCUCUUUACUGAGUGUCGAGUCGGGCCGGUACGUUUACUUUGAACAAAUUAGAGUGCUUAAAGCAGGCUAUCCUCGCCUGAAUACUGCGUGCAUGGAAUAAUGGAAUAGGACCUCGGUUCUAUUUUGUUGGUUUUCGGAACCCCGAGGUAAUGAUUAAUAGGGACAGAUGGGGGCAUUCGUAUUGCGACGUUAGAGGUGAAAUUCUUGGAUCGUCGCAAGACGGACAGAAGCGAAAGCAUUUGCCAAAAAUGUUUUCAUUAAUCAAGAACGAAAGUUAGAGGUUCGAAGGCGAUCAGAUACCGCCCUAGUUCUAACCAUAAACGAUGCCAGCUAGCGAUCCGCCGAAGUUCCUCCGAUGACUCGGCGGGCAGCUUCCGGGAAGCCAAAGCUUUUGGGUUCCGGGGGAAGUAUGGUUGCAAAGCUGAAACUUAAAGGAAUUGACGGAAGGGCACCACCAGGAGUGGAGCCUGCGGCUUAAUUUGACUCAACACGGGAAACCUCACCAGGCCCAGACACCGGAAGGAUUGACAGAUUGAUAGCUCUUUCUUGAUUCGGUGGGUGGUGGUGCAUGGCCGUUCUUAGUUGGUGGAGCGAUUUGUCUGGUUAAUUCCGAUAACGAACGAGACUCUAGCCUGCUAAAUAGGCGUACCUUAUGGUAUCGCGAAGGCCCCCGGCUUCGGCCGGUGGGUUUUUACUACCAACGUACAAACAAAUCUUCUUAGAGGGACAGGCGG